rnacentral:lncRNA from 1 species
CCUCAGUCCUCUCCUCCUAUCCCCAGCCAAUACCAGAGCCAUAGCCACCUCCCCCCUCUCUCUGUCUUCGUCUCUAUGUGGAGUCGGAGACACAGCAUGGAGCCAAUAGAUCUGGACCCCCUGGUUCCGAUAGUGAGGUUGACAAUUCGAGGAGGAGAUAUGCUCGUCGUCGGAGACGUAAUGGCAGAUUCGGCAUAUGGAUUCUUGAAGAUGUCGCUCAGUUUUCGAGGUCAGCAACGACCCAACCACCUGGGUUUUGUAGAUCAAAGGUUCGCGACGGUGCCAGAUGACAUUGUGGGGGUUGAGUUCGCGUUUGUGUCGGCAUCUGGGUUGUGGUGAGAAAUCGAUCAAUGAGGGUGACACCAGUGUUUUUCGUGAAGGACGAUGGGAUGAUGAUAGUACUAUAUACAAUGAAUUUUUAUAUUUUUUGGUGUUUCCAGUUCCAAAAAUGGAUAAGAGUUGGUUCUCUGACAUGAUCUCUCAGCACUGGUUAUAGAGUUCCUAUUGAUCCUAUCAUCUUCCACUCUGAGUGAGCUUGGAUUAAAUUGUGAGUGGAGUUUUGCUCACUUGCUUUAAAUGUACUGUCUUGUUUAAUUUUUUGGUUUAUUGUUUGCCAGAACCCUCCUCUUGGGCAGUGUUCUUCAUGUAUAUCUUGUAAUUGUCUAUAUUAUGAAUGGAUCUGUUUGUUUCUCC